CACAAGCAAGUUUUACGAACUUAAAAAGUGAUGCAGAGAAAGCGUGUUUUAUAAAGCAGCCGAAUGCUUUUUCCUCAUAAAUUUCACAUUUUUGCACAGACGCUUGUAGGUUUUACUUCGAACAUAACAUACCAAUUGGAACGUAGCGGCAGUAUGUCACGUGAUACUACCCAGGCGUAGACAGUAUGAAACUAUCGCUUGGCCAACUUAUAACUUUCUUGUAAAUCCUAAGCAUUUUUUAUGAUUUCUUUGAAGUUUUGCGACAAGAAAACGCUUGUAUAGACUGGACAAACAACUAGCGUUUGUAUGUAUCUUUUUGAUAUCAGUUCAGUCGCAGCAAAGGCAACGUUGGUAUGAAAAGAUGUCCGAACCCAAAACAACGUCUGAACUUCAAUUGUACAAAAUACUUCAAAGAGCUAAUCUACUGUCAUACUACGAUGUCUUUAUUUCUCAAGGCGGUGACGAUGUUCGUCAACUUGUUGAAGCAGGCGAGGAAGAAUUCCUUGAAAUAAUGGCUCUUGUCGGAAUGGCUAGUAAACCAUUACAUGUCAGAAGAUUACAGAAAGCCCUUCACGAAUGGGCGUCUUUUAAUCGUAGUCCAACUGUAUCUCGCCUACCUUCAACCUAUAUACCCUCCGUUCCAUCUGUCGGUAAUAAGCGCCUUAUACAGAUAUCACCCGUCCAAAAUAUAAAAGAUGAAGAGAAAUCAAAUGAUUCCAAUCCUGAGAGUGAUGACACUUGUCAAACAAGUUGUACCAUUGAAUUAUCAACAGAACAAGCUAUUGCUAUUGAAAGGUCAGCUACUAAUUUGGCAUCUAAAUUACCUCAGUUUGCCCCUAAAAUGAUUCAAAUGAAAAAACCAUUCGGAAAAGAACUAGAAGACGUUUUACGAUUACCGUCAGUACAUCCAGAAUAUAUGUCAUUAUUGAGAAGACAUUCAGCUAUAUAUAUUCCGAAUAGUUCUGAGGAACGUAACGACAGCCGUCUAACAAUAUAUCAGGUUCUUACGAAUGAAGCAGCGGCCCAGUUAUGCAAACAUCGUCCAGCACUUGUAACGAGAAGAGAUGAUUUAUUUCCUCUAGCGAAGAGAGUAGUUAAAGAUGCCUGUAAGACAGGUGAUAUAUGCGUAACUAUGACCUCAUCGGAUUCCAGUAGUUCGUCAGGAGAUGAAGAUCCAACCUGUCCAAAAAAAUGCAAAACUGAAGAAAAUCCUAUACAACAAGUUGGUAUAAGUAUUUAAAAGAGAAUGUGAAAUAUUAUUUACCAAUUAAUUACGUUCAAAAGAAAUGUAUGAUGAUUUUACAAAAAGGAGUUUAUUUAAUUUUUAUUCAGUCAACGAAAAACUUAAACAAAAAAGACAAUGAGAUGUGAACCGUGAUUGGGCAGAUUUAGUAGGCUAACUUCUCCAAUUUUGAAAUCAAGCAAAUCGUCAGACGACGCUCUGAGGAGAUUCGGCGAUCAAAGCGAUUAAAAGAGACAAAUAUCGAUGUAUCAAUAAAAAAAUUCUAAAACUUAUUCCUUUAGCUAAAAAAAAGGUGAAAUUUUCAAAUAAACGGUUG
rnacentral:misc_RNA from 1 species